UGGGGAAUUUUGGACAAUGGGCGAAAGCCUGAUCCAGCAAUGCCGCGUGUGUGAAGAAGGCCUUCGGGUUGUAAAGCACUUUUGUCCGGAAAGAAAUCCUUGGCUCUAAUACAGUCGGGGGAUGACGGUACCGGAAGAAUAAGCACCGGCUAACUACGUGCCAGCAGCCGCGGUAAUACGUAGGGUGCAAGCGUUAAUCGGAAUUACUGGGCGUAAAGCGUGCGCAGGCGGUUUGCUAAGACCGAUGUGAAAUCCCCGGGCUCAACCUGGGAACUGCAUUGGUGACUGGCAGGCUAAAGUAUGGCAGAGGGGGGUAGAAUUCCACGUGUAGCAGUGAAAUGCGUAGAGAUGUGGAGGAAUACCGAUGGCGAAGGCAGCCCCCUGGGCCAAUACUGACGCUCAUGCACGAAAGCGUGGGGAGCAAACAGGAUUAGAUACCCUGGUAGUCCACGCCCUAAACGAUGUCAACUAGUUGUUGGGGAUUCAUUUCCUUAGUAACGUAGCUAACGCGUGAAGUUGACCGCCUGGGGAGUACGGUCGCAAGAUUAAAACUCAAAUGAAUUGACGGGGUCAUAGCUGUUUCCUG
rnacentral:rRNA from 1 species